ensembl:lincRNA
CAGGAUUACGGAAGGGGAAUCUUGGGUUAUAAGGAGAGGAAUGCAAGUUUUAAUUUCUUUUCCUCCUCCUUUUUGUUCUCCUUCUUUUUCUCUUCCUCGGUCUCCCUCUUAGAAUUCCUGAAGCAUUUGACAUUUUUCUUUGUUGAGCUUUCCUAUUACUCCCGUUCAUUUGAUGCAGUAAAGAGCAAGACAAGUAGAGAUCUAAGUACAGGCUAGAGCCAUGGUUCUCCCCUUCAUAUUCAGCAGAACCUCCUGGACAGUUUGUUUAAAUGUAGCUUCCGCUGUCCCUACCACAAAAGCUGUUGAUUUCCUAGGACCAAGCUGAGACUCAUGAAUCAGCGUUUCUAUCCAAAAAGGAUCCCAGGUGAUUCUAAUCCACGUGUUCUGAGGACACGGCUUUGAGAAACAGAGACCUGUGAGAAGAGACCAACUGCACCUGCACCUGCAUAUUUCAGAUGGAAACACUGGGAUAUGCUCAGUGGGACAAUCUAAGAAUCAUCUGAGACCAAGCUACAUGACAAAGCAGCACCAGUCCAAUCUCCUAAUUCACCCUGCUUACAGCAUUCCCCUUUGGAAUCUUAUCAUCAACUGUUGCCAACCUAAGCAAAGGCAGUUUCUUGAUGUCUCUUCAUCUGUUUCAAGCCCUCUGCUCCUGAGCCUCAGAAAUCAAAAGGGAACGUUCAGCCGCCACCUGCUGAUGAAUGCGUAAACAAAGGGGUAGUCAAGACUGAGGAGGACCAGCCUUUGAGGACAAUUCCUGCGUGGUGCUCCAGCUCAAAUAAGGGCACGGCUCCUAAGGAACAGGCUUGAGACACGCAUAAGUGCUGGGCCAAGUAGUUCAGGAGCCUGGCACAGCUGUUCCCAAUGUGCCCUUUACCUCCUGUUGCCUCUCAAAGCACAAUAGGGUGUGGAUGACCCUGUGCCCCUGCUCCCAGAAGAAACCGAGAAAGUUACAACUCAUUAACCUGUUAGUGUUGGAGCAGCACUUGCCACAUUAUUCUGAGAAGUCUCAGAUCCGUGAGGGUGAUGUGGAGCUCAGAACACACAGCCUAAACCCUGUUUUUACCGGAGCAGUUGUUUUGAUCUGUCUUAUAGCUGGGAGAUAAGCAUGAGAUUUCAAGGGAGGAGGGCCAGCUCCCUUCCUAAAGACUUAGAAUGUUUAAAAAAACCUCCCUUGUACAGUUGAAUUUGGUACCUCUUUCCCUGAAACGAGCUAAAGUGAAAUAUCUUACAGAUCCUGACAUACAGUGAGCUAGUUUUAUUUCCAGUUUUCUCUGCUGCUUCUCUCUGAACUAAUGGCUCCCUAUAACUCUUUCUGUGUGCGUUUGACAGCAUUGUUCUCUGAGUAACAGUAACCGUGAGAAGAACAGCUAACAUUUAUUCCAUGCCUACUGUGUGUGCCUUGUCACAUGCUGGGCACCCCAUUAGCCUACUGGACCCUGCUAUCGCCCCGUGAGUGGAUGCUCUCUCUCUUCAGCUCUCACGUGAAGCAGAAACAGCAACAGCAACUUCUUCAGUUCAUUCAGCUGGUAAAUGCUGAACUCAGAACUGCAAGCCAGGCAGUAACUCAGAGGUUGAGUGGACUUGAUGUAUAAUGUCACCUCUAAUGUUUAGUGAACAAGAGAUACGUGUGUAUAAAUGAGAUGUAAAUUAGUUUUGGAUCUUGAAAAGGAAUAUGCUCAAUAGUGAAAAUCUGAAGUUAAAAAAAAAAACAGGAAGAAAAAAUUAUCCAUCAUUUCCCAACUCCAAGACCACCAACUGUUAAUGUGUUAAUGUUUGCACAUAUUUCCUCCCAGUCUAUUUUUAUGUAUAAUUUUUAGCCCUGCAUAUUUAAAGCAGCUCUGAUUGUCUGUGGAUAUUUUAUUUUGCUUUUGUCACUUUGUAUGACAAUAUAAUGUAUGAUGAUGUUUUUCAUAAUAUUUCAAAUUCUCUAUAAUUUUUGCUGGCUAUAUAAUAGUCUUUUAAGUGGAGUAAUCAGGUUGACAAAAAUUUAUUGAGCAUCUAAUAUGUCCCAGAUCCUGUGCUCCACCCUGGGAACACACGGAUAUAUAAAAUUCUGAUUUUUUCCUUUGAGAACUAGCAGUCUAGUGUAGAGCAAAGGUAAGUUGUUAACUAUGUAGUUAUAAUAAUAGCUACCACUGGCUGGGCAUGGUGGCUCAUGCCUGUAAUCCCAGCACUUUGGGAGGCUGAGGCAGGCAGAUCACCUGAGGUUAGGAGUUCAAGACCAGCCUGGCCAACAUGGUGAAACCCCAUCUCUACUAAAA